rnacentral:tRNA from 1 species
GGGGCUGUAGCUCAAUGGCAGAGCGCUUGCCUCUCAUGUAUGAGGCAUUGGGUUCAAUCCACAGCACCA